GACAGAGGAUGCAAGCGUUAUCCGGAAUGAUUGGGCGUAAAGAGCUCGUAGGCGGCUUGUCGCGUCGUUCGUGAAAACCCGGGGCUCAACUCCGGGCUUGCGGGCGAUACGGGCAGGCUAGAGUUCGGUAGGGGAGACUGGAAUUCCUGGUGUAGCGGUGAAAUGCGCAGAUAUCAGGAGGAACACCGAUGGCGAAGGCAGGUCUCUGGGCAUUAACUGACGCUGAGGAGCGAAAGCAUGGGGAGCGAACAGG
rnacentral:rRNA from 1 species